AGUUAAUGAACUUGUUAUAAGUAUAUGUUUUGAAAACAUAAUAAAGAUGUUAAACCCUCUAUUAACUU
rnacentral:tRNA from 1 species